rnacentral:rRNA from 1 species
GCAUAUCAAUAAGCGGAGGAAAAGAAACUAACAAGGAUUCCCUUAGUAACGGCGAGUGAAGAGGGAAGAGCUCAAAUUUUAAAUCUAUCAUGUUGUACAUGAUCGAGUUGUAAUUUGAAGAAGCGUUUUCUCGUACUUUAUGAUCAGUAUAAGUUCUCUUGGAACAGGACAUCAUAGAGGGUGAUAAUCCCGUCUGUUACUGAUUGUGAGGUUCGUUUAUGAUACGCUUUCAAAGAGUCGAGUUGUUUGGGAUUGCAGCUCCAAAUGGGUGGUAAACAUCACCUAAGGCUAAAUAUUUGCGAGAGACCGAUAGCGAACAAGUACCGUGAGGGAAAGAUGAAAAGAACUUUGAAAAGAGAGUUAAAAAGUAUGUGAAAUUGUUGAAAGGGAAACGAUUGAAGUCAGUCGUGCAGUUAUNAAUUCAGCGGUUAACAUUUUAUGUUUCCGUGUAAUUUGGUGUCUGUUGGUUAGCAUCAAUUUUGAUUGUUAUAAAAAGGUUAAGGGGAUGUGGCUCCUUCGGGAGUGUUAUAACCCUUAGCGUAAUGUGACGAUUAGGAUUGAGGUUUGCAACGAAUACCUUUUAGGGCAGUUUCACCUGGCCUCUCGUGGAAUUAUAGAUAGUUAAGAGCAUGCUCUUACUGUUUAUGAUUCUACGAAAAGGUUGGAGUGUAAAACUAAUUCGUUAAGGAUGUUGACGUA